rnacentral:rRNA from 1 species
CUACCUCAUACAGGGGGAUAACAGUUGGAAACGACCGCUAAUACCGCAUAACCCGCUAAUAUCGCAUGAUACGGACGGAAAAGAUUUAUCGGUAUGAGAUGGACCCGCGUCUGAUUAGCCAGUUGGCAGGGUAACGGCCUACCAAAGCAACGAUCAGCAGCCGGCCUGAGAGGGUGAACGGCCACAUUGGGACUGAGACACGGCCCAAACUCCUACGGGAGGCAGCAGUGGGGAAUAUUGCACAAUGGGGGAAACCCUGAUGCAGCGACGCCGCGUGAGUGAGGAAGUAUUUCGGUAUGUAAAGCUCUAUCAGCAGGGAAGAAAAUGACGGUACCUGACUAAGAAGCCCCGGCUAACUACGUGCCAGCAGCCGCGGUAAUACGUAGGGGGCAAGCGUUAUCCGGAUUUACUGGGUGUAAAGGGAGCGUAGACGGUUAAUCAAGUCAGAAGUGAAAACCCAGGGCUCAACCUUGGGACUGCUUUUGAAACUGAGUAGCUAGAGUGCAGGAGAGGUAAGCGGAAUUCCUAGUGUAGCGGUGAAAUGCGUAGAUAUUAGGAGGAACACCAGUGGCGAAGGCGGCUUACUGGACUGUAACUGACGUUGAGGCUCGAAAGCGUGGGGAGCAAACAGGAUUAGAUACCCUGGUAGUCCACGCCGUAAAC